ACAAAGGUUGUGCUGAAAAGCCACAAGGGGCCACUUAAGGGAAUGGAGAGAAGGGUACCUCGAUGUAACGUCGUCGACAGCAAAACAAGCUCCCCAGGGGAUCCCGUUCGGGGUAUAGGGCUACUGGUACGACGGACCAGGCACGACCCAGGUGCCCGGUUCAAGAAAGAGAUCGGCCGCUACCUGGACGGUAGAGCACCAGGGAUACCCCGUGUCGUGGGCCUCGCAUUCAAAGUGGUCCUCUCAGCCACGCCCAUUCAGGAGCGCCGAACGCGCCAGAGCCCCCCCCCCCCCCCGCUUUUCCCGGUUUUUAACGCUACUUUACUCAAUACAAAAAAGAGCAUUACGUAUCAUACUACGCAUCCCGCCCAGAAAUUCAGCAUCCUUCGCGUUGUAUGUGUUAUCUGUAAUGGAUGUUUGCAGUUUUGCUAAGUACAAAAUAUGUUCCUUAGUCCA